GGUCUUUAGAUUUUUAUUUAAGAUCAGGCCUGCCCAUUGAUUUGAAAAAUUAAAAGGCUGCGGUAUUUUAACUGUACGAAGGUAGCAUAAUCAUUUGUCUUUUAAUUGGAGGCUAGAAUGAAUGGUUUGAUGAGAAAUAAGCUUUCUUUUUUUAAUUUAUUUGAAUUUAAUUUUUUAGUUAAAAAGCUAAAAUUUUUUUAUAGGACGAGAAGACCCUAUAGAAGUUUACUAUAUUAAUAAUUUUUUGUUUUUUGUUUUUAAAAUAUUUUUUUAAAUUAUAUAGUUUUGUUGGGGUGACAUUAAAAUUUAUUUAACUUUUAUUUUUUAUUUCAUUAAUUUAUGUUUUUUUGAUCCAAUAUUUAUUGAUUAAAAGUUUAACUUACCUUAGGGAUAACAGCGUAAUUUUUUCGGAGAGUUCAUAUCGAUGAAUAAAGUUUGCGA
rnacentral:rRNA from 1 species